AAAUGCAAUAUACGAUAGAGAAAUGAUAUAAGAUGAUAAUUAUAU
rnacentral:guide_RNA from 1 species